rnacentral:tRNA from 1 species
GCGGAGAUGGCGGAGUGGUCUAACGCGCCUGCCUUGAGAGCAGGUGAGCUUCGGCUCGCGGGGGUUCGAAUCCCUCUCUCCGCG